rnacentral:rRNA from 1 species
CCUACGGGUGGCAGCAGUAGGGAAUAUUGCUCAAUGGGGGAAACCCUGAAGCAGCAAAGCCGCGUGGAGGAUGAAGGUUUUCGGAUUGUAAACUCCUUUUGAUAGAGAAGUUAAUGAAGGUAUGUAACGAAUAAGCACUGGCUAAGACCGUGCAAGCAGCCGCGGCAAUGGGGAGGGUGCAGGGGUUACUCGGAAUCACUGGGCGUAAAGCGCGGGUAGGCGGGUUAGCAAGUCAGAUGGGAAAUCCUAGGGCUUAAACAUAGAACUGCAUUUGAAACUGUUAUUCUAGAGUCUGGAGGAGGUAGGUGGAAUUGUUGGUGUAGGGGUAAAAUCCUUAGAGAUCAAGAGGACUACUAAUUGCGAAGGCGACCUGCAAGAACAUAACUGAC